UACGGGGGGGGCAAGCGUUGUUCGGAAUUACUGGGCGUAAAGGGCUCGUAGGCGGCCAACUAAGUCAGACGUGAAAUCCCUCGGCUUAACCGGGGAACUGCGUCUGAUACUGGAUGGCUUGAGAUUGGGAGAGGGAUGCGGAAUUCCAGGUGUAGCGGUGAAAUGCGCAGAUAUCGGGAGGAACACCAAUGGCGAAAGCAGGUACCUGGACUAUUGCUGACACUAAACUGCGAAAGCUAGGGGAGCAAACAGG
rnacentral:rRNA from 1 species